UACCAGCACCCCGAGUGGUCGGGACGUUUAUUGGGCCUAAAGCAUCCGUAGCCGGUUCCACAAGUCUUCCGUUAAAUCCAACUGCUUAACAGGUGGGCUGCGGAAGAUACUAUAGAGCUAGGAGGCGGGAGAGGCAAGCGGUACUCGAUGGGUAGGGGUAAAAUCCGUUGAUCCAUUGAAGACCACCAGUGGCGAAGGCGGCUUGCCAGAACGCGCUCGACGGUGAGGGAUGAAAGCUGGGGGAGCAAACCGG
rnacentral:rRNA from 1 species